rnacentral:tRNA from 1 species
GGGUUGUAGCUCAGUGGUAGAGUGUUCGCCAUGAAUGUGGAAGACACUGGGUUCAAUCCUCAGCUCCA